rnacentral:rRNA from 1 species
UACGUAGGUGGCGAGCGUUGUCCGGAUUUACUGGGCGUAAAGCGCGCGCAGGCGGUUCGUUAAGUCCGGUGUGAAAGCUCCCGGCUCAACUGGGAGAGGUCAUUGGAUACUGGCGGACUUGAGGGAUGCAGAGGAAGGUGGAAUUCCCGGUGUAGUGGUGAAAUGCGUAGAGAUCGGGAGGAACACCAGUGGCGAAGGCGGCCUUCUGGGCAUUUCCUGACGCUGAGGCGCGAAAGCCAGGGGAGCAAACGGG